AUACAAAAUUCAUGUAAAACCUGCCUUCAGUUAUGUAUAAGCUCUUUAUCAGUUUGUUGGUCUCAGUCUUUGAUGGUUUGGAAAAUUAGGAACAACUGCUCUUGCGGAAAGAAUUUCUAAUUCGGUACAAACAAUUCAAUUGUUCAAAAGAUACUAGAUUGCAUAUAUAAACUUGCAAAAUUCGCUUUAAAGUGCCUAAUGAUUGACCUUGAAUUAGUUUAUCUAAUAUAGCUGUGAUGAAUUAUUUGCCAGUGGUCUGUUCUUGCUUCAAUGAAUCAUCUCUAAUGUAUUUUUUAUUUAUUCUAGUGCUAUAGGGUAGUGUUGACAGUUGAUGCACACACCCAUAUGUGCCAUAUGGUAGUGUUGUAAAAUGCAUCUGUCAUCACAAAUAAUCUUUAGACUGCAAAGGAGCUAAGAAAUAAUGUCACUUUAGUCAUAAGGGCAACAUUAGUAGUUUGUGCAUAAUUCAAAACUGUUGUUUCAGCACUCCUCAAGGCUGCAAGAAAGAUUAAUUUUAGAGAUAUUUGAAGCCAAAUAGCCUGCAACUGAAAGAUUGGUGAUCUAGGCCUUGCAGCAAUCAUACAGGGUUCUCAAUCAGCACAUAAUGUCAUAGUAGCAUUUGUUAGGCACCCUAGAAUUCAUGGCACCAGAAUUAUACGAAUGGGAUUACAAUAAGCUUGUUGAUAUUUACUCAAUUUGUUAUGCAGGGAAAGCUUUCUGCUGCAUUCUAUCAGAUUCAGGACUUAAAGAAGAGCGGCUUAUUGAUGCCUAUCAUACAUUCAACUACCAAGAAGAUGAUGGGACUAAUCAUCCUUUCAAUUCUUUCUCCUUUUGUUCAUUAUCUCAAGCAUCCAUUUACCCAUUCAAUUUCUGAGAAUUUGAUGUUUAAUCCAUUUAUUGUGGAAUGUGGAAUUAGAAAACCAUCAAAUAUAUGUAUAUAAAUUAUUUUUCUCAAUAGUAUAGAGAAUUUAAUAUUUUCAUAUUAAAUUCUUGACAUUAAUUUGUACAAGGUCAUUACAAUUUAUAAUAUUAAGAUUAAAUGCA